UACGUAGGGUGCGAGCGUUGUCCGGAAUUACUGGGCGUAAAGAGCUCGUAGGUGGUUUGUCGCGUUGUUCGUGAAAACUCACAGCUCAACUGUGGGCGUGCGGGCGAUACGGGCAGACUGGAGUACUGCAGGGGAGAAUGGAAUUCCUGGUGUAGCGGUGAAAUGCGUAGAUAUCAGGAGGAACACCGAUGGCGAAGGCAGGUCUCUGGGCCAUAACUGACGCUGAGAAGCGAAAGCAUGGGGAGCGAACAGG
rnacentral:rRNA from 1 species